rnacentral:rRNA from 1 species
ACGAAGGGGGCGAGCGUUGUUCGGAUUUACUGGGCGUAAAGCGUGUGUAGGCGGCUUCGCAAGUUGGAUGUGAAAUCCCACGGCUCAACCGUGGACGUGCAUCCAAAACUGCGUCGCUAGAGUCUCGGAGAGGAAGGUGGAAUGCUUGGUGUAGAGGUGAAAUUCGUAGAUAUCAAGCAGAACACCUGCGGCGAAGGCGGCCUUCUGGACGAUGACUGACGCUGAGACACGAAAGCGUGGGGAGCAAACAGGA